rnacentral:rRNA from 1 species
GGGGAAUAUUGCACAAUGGGGGAAACCCUGAUGCAGCGACGCCGCGUGAGUGAAGAAGUAUUUCGGUAUGUAAAGCUCUAUCAGCAGGGAAGAAGAAUGACGGUACCUGACUAAGAAGCCCCGGCUAACUACGUGCCAGCAGCCGCGGUAAUACGUAGGGGGCAAGCGUUAUCCGGAUUUACUGGGUGUAAAGGGAGCGUAGGUGGUGUGGUAAGUCAGAUGUGAAAGCCCGGGGCUCAACCCCGGGACUGCAUUUGAAACUAUCGAACUAGAGUGCAGGAGAGGUAAGUGGAAUUCCUAGUGUAGCGGUGAAAUGCGUAGAUAUUAGGAGGAACACCAGUGGCGAAGGCGGCUUACUGGACUGCAACUGACACUGAGGCUCGAAAGCGUGGGGAGCAAAC